CGUCAUCCUUAAUGAUCCCCUUAUUGUUUGUCCAUGUGUAAAUAUUUUAUGUCCCCUAUGUAUUUUUAUUAAUAUCUUAUUGCUAGGAUAACCACACCAUUAAGUUGGCAUGUUGCCGAUUUUAAUUUUUAAUGUAGAAGAUGGCUGCAUCCUACUCAACGCUCCAUGAUGGCGGCUUUGUUAAGCCAAAUCUAGAUAUUUGUUAUUGUUGUCUAGCCCAACUGGUGUUGUGGCAUAGACAUUAACUUUUACUCCGGAACCAUGACAAAGUAAAGCUCUAGCAUCAUUGGGAGUGAACAAAGAAAGGAAGAUGCAGAUUUAAAUGAACAUCUAACGAACCUCGGCCAUUGCUAGCAAACAGAUAAUACCAAAACUUAGCCAAAACGUCACUGGAACCAAGAAAUACACACACAAAAAUAUCAGCAGAGUUAACGGACUUCUACCUUUCAUCUACUCCACUUUUAUUUUGCUCGCUAAGUUUUAUCGUCUUCUUUGAACAGAAGAGCUUAACAGAGGAGCGACAUUGGAAAUUUGAGUUGAAGUGUUCAAUAAAACAUUUGGAUGUCAACGUUGUUGGUGUAAACAUUCAGGCUUGUGCUUCCUCUGGUGGCUCUUAGAGUUAGGAUUUUACAAUUGAAUGUCCCACUUUUGUCUCUGCUUCUCUUGAAUGUUAGACGCUCACGUUCUUACCUGAGGUUACAACAAAUGAUUUCCUACUUUGUAGGUCAUUUAAACUGAGGUCAAUAAAGUAACAAAUAUAAUCAAGUUCUGUAACAGGAAGUAUUUCUUUUAUUUGCAAUGAAGUUUUUGAUUUUGUGUGUGUGUGUGAAGACUAGUGUUUAGUGUUGGUAUUUUUAGGUGUAAUCUAGUAAAGAUAGUUAGACAUUUGGGUUUCUUAUUAGUGUUAGUAGUGGUAUAGUCAGGUUGAUUAGUUGCUUAUUUCUAAGUUUAUUUAGUUGUUUCUGUAAAGUUUAUCUUUUUUUGUAUUCAUCUAUAUUUUUAUUGCUUUAUAAGUUUGUUGUGAAUAAAGUGUAUUUAUAUUUUGUUUUAUAAAUUUAGUUUAGUUUGUUCUUUUAGUUAGCUAGAUUAGUUUAGUUUAGUUUAAUUGUGCUGUCUGGUUGCUUAGGCGACUCUAGCCCCUUGGUCGCAGACCGAGGUGCACAGAUUGGGCCCACCCAGUAGAGCUACCACCUGCCUACUGUUAUAAAUGAAUAAAUGAUGAGCAGCAGAAGAGAAUAGGCCACCACACUCGCGCCUGCCUGACCUGCUCACAGUAACCUUGUUUUAUAUUUUUUUAUAUUGAAGAGGUAUUUUUUACCUUCAAACCCCGCUGAAGGGGGAUUUAAACUCAAAACUGAGUCAAAAUCCAAUUAGCGACGCUCAUAACAUUUUGAGUGCGUAAUUUGCUUUUUUUUUAUAUUGAAGAGGUAUUUUUUUAGCUUUAAAUCCUACUGAAGAGAAGGUGGUUUAAACUUAAAACCCCUUUUGGCAACGCUCAUAGAAUUUUGAGUGUGUAAUUUGCUUUUUUUAUAGAGCGGGUUUAUCGUAAAUUUUGGAGGGGGGUUAAAAUCAAAAUCUUUCUUAACUGCUCUUGGAAUUUGGGGAUUUUCGUUUGCAUUUUUUUGGGGGGUUUUGUUUUAUAAAAGAGGGGGAUUUAACUGCAAAAACUCCUGGUAGGGGGUUUUAGUAACUCAAGAACCCCUGGUAGGGGGUUUUAGUAGCUCAAAACCCCAGGUAGGUGGUUUUAAACUGGGUAAGCACAUGUUGCUACAUAUUUUGUGUUGUAAGAUUUUUACAUAUGAUGCUGGUAAGUGAUACUGAUCAGUAGUUUCCUGGGUCAGAUUUUUCUUUUUUAAAUAGGGGGAGUGACAUUAGCUUCUUUCCAGUCCCUUGGUACUCUGCCCUAGUUAAGAGAUGUCUGAAAAAGUAUUUUAAACACUGGUGCUAACUCAUUGCUUAGUUCUUGGAGCAAUCUAGCUGAAAUACCAUAAGGUCCAGAUGCUUUAUUCGGUUUGAUGUUUGCUAAUAGUUUUUGGAUUUCAUUUUCUUGUACUUCUAUAUCUCCUAUGUUGUCUACUUGGUUCAAAUUAAGUAAAAUGUCUUUGUCUCCUGGGGCUGAGAAUGCUGAUGCAAAGUAUCUAUUUAGGAUGUUAGCUUUAGUUUCAUUAGCAUUAUGUGUUAAGUUAUCUUCUCCUUUUAAUGGCGCUAUGCCUGUUGUUUUUAUUUUCUUAGACAUAAUGUAUGACCAUAGGUUUUUGUUGUUAUCUUUAGAUAUUACAUUGUUUAUGUAUUCAAUUAUUAUUAAAUUUGUAAUAGAUCUAAUCUAACAAAAAA